rnacentral:rRNA from 1 species
UAAGUACCCCGAGGAAAAGAAAUCAACCGAGAUUCCCCCAGUAGCGGCGAGCGAACGGGGAGCAGCCCAGAGCCUGAAUCAGUGUGUGUGUUAGUGGAAGCGUCUGGAAAGGCGCGCGAUACAGGGUGACAGCCCCGUACACAAAAAUGCACAUACUGUGAGCUCGAUGAGUAGGGCGGGACACGUGGUAUCCUGUCUGAAUAUGGGGGGACCAUCCUCCAAGGCUAAAUACUCCUGACUGACCGAUAGUGAACCAGUACCGUGAGGGAAAGGCGAAAAGAACCCCGGCGAGGGGAGUGAAAAAGAACCUGAAACCGUGUACGUACAAGCAGUGGGAGCACGCUUAGGCGUGUGACUGCGUACCUUUUGUAUAAUGGGUCAGCGACUUAUAUUCUGUAGCAAGGUUAACCGAAUAGGGGAGCCGAAGGGAAACCGAGUCUUAACUGGGCGUUAAGUUGCAGGGUAUAGACCCGAAACCCGGUGAUCUAGCCAUGGGCAGGUUGAAGGUUGGGUAACACUAACUGGAGGACCGAACCGACUAAUGUUGAAAAAUUAGCGGAUGACUUGUGGCUGGGGGUGAAAGGCCAAUCAAACCGGGAGAUAGCUGGUUCUCCCCGAAAGCUAUUUAGGUAGCGCCUCGUGAAUUCAUCUCCGGGGGUAGAGCACUGUUUCGGCAAGGGGGUCAUCCCGACUUACCAACCCGAUGCAAACUGCGAAUACCGGAGAAUGUUAUCACGGGAGACACACGGCGGGUGCUAACGUCCGUCGUGAAGAGGGAAACAACCCAGACCGCCAGCUAAGGUCCCAAAGUCAUGGUUAAGUGGGAAACGAUGUGGGAAGGCCCAGACAGCCAGGAUGUUGGCUUAGAAGCAGCCAUCAUUUAAAGAAAGCGUAAUAGCUCACUGGUCGAGUCGGCCUGCGCGGAAGAUGUAACGGGGCUAAACCAUGCAC